rnacentral:lncRNA from 1 species
AAAGAAGCCAGGAGACAACAUCAGAGGCAGGAGCUGUGCUGUAUUCAUCCUGAAAAGUUCUGGAGGAGGAAGCCACCUACGGGUCUCUGAGUGGGUGGUGGGGGGCAGAUGGAAGUGGAGGGGCAAGGGUAAAACCUUAAGGAACUGCCUAUCGGUGAGCACUCCUGGGAGAAUCAGAACACUGGGAGGAAAGAGGUCAAGGAGACAGCCUUCCUGCCACGUAGAUAGAACAUUCUGGUGGAUGGAAAUUUCCACGAAUGCUUCAGCCUUUCUGCUUGGCUUUACACAGAAAUGGCCAGAAGAUCACCUUUACCGAAAGCAUCUUGCAGUCAUCCUCCUUCCCAAGCCGCUUUCCAGUAAGCCUCACAAUGGAAGGUCCCCAACCUGGAGCAAGGAUACGGGCCAAGGGCUUUGAUCAACUCUGCCUUCCUGGGCCUCAGGGAGAGAGACGGGCUGCUUCCGGGUGCUCAUGACCUUUCCAGCAGUAAGCCAACAAUGUAUGACUCCUGCAUUGCCAUUGCUUGUUUGAGCUUUGAAUGAUACAUUGGCCCACGCU